rnacentral:rRNA from 1 species
UACGUAGGGUGCGAGCGUUAAUCGGAAUUACUGGGCGUAAAGCGUGCGCAGGCGGUUUUGUAAGCCAGAUGUGAAAUCCCCGGGCUUAACCUGGGAAUGGCAUUUGGGACUGCAAGGCUCGAGUGCGGCAGAGGAGACUGGAAUUCCUGGUGUAGCGGUGAAAUGCGCAGAUAUCAGGAAGAACACCAAUGGCGAAAGCAGCUCUCUGGGACGGUACUGACGCUGAGACGCGAAAGCGUGGGGAGCGAACAGG